UUAUGGCCACAUCACUUUGAAAAUUGCCGGUUCCAAUACGAUCAACAAAGUUAAGCAACGUCGAACCAGAUCAGUACCUAGAUGGGUGACCACUUGGAAAUAACAGGUGAUGUAAG